CAGGGUUGUCCAUCAGGACUCCAGAAAGAGCUUAGCGGCACAGCCAGAGAGGGACCCAGAGGAGUAUUUAGGCAGCUGCCGAGGCCUCCGUCCCAGCCCUGGUAUCAUCCCCCCAUCAGGCACUCCUUGAAGUGGUUUUAUAAGACAUGACGAGGGAGCCCAGGCCGAAAGUGAUCAGCGGGCGACGCACAUCUGAAACCCAUUUCCCACAAUUAAAGGGGAGAGACUAUCAGCUCUAAACAUCGCCUGUUUCCACGACUUCUCAUUCAAAUGUCCCCAAAUCUGAUGAAGAAAUAAACUCAUCUACAUCUUGGAUGGCCUGAGGGUGAGAAACAUUUCAGCAAAUUCUAAUUUUGGGUGAAUUAUUGCUUUAAGCGACUAAACAGUGAUUGCAGGAUAUGUAGGACAACAGAAAACCCUGCCACUGUCUACAUGUGCAGGUGAAAAACAGUUUUGUUCUAGUUGGUUGAAGCACUAAGCACAUGGCUUAGAAUAAUUACCUCCUGUUUACUGAUGAAAGCAGCUCACAGUACAGUGACUUGGAAAAGAGGCAGAGUAAUCCUCAGAGUGUUUUACAGUAGACUAUAAUUGCUUGCUUACUGUGAA
ensembl:lncRNA